UGUCAUAAAAACGAAUACCUGAUGGCGUUAUGAAGGUGAUGUGUGAAUGUUAAGCUUACAGAAAGCGCUUGCUAACUUUGUGAAUUAUAUAAA
rnacentral:lncRNA from 1 species